rnacentral:lncRNA from 1 species
UAAAAAUGAUUAAAAUUACCAAAUAUAUGAUAAUCUCAAAAAUGUACUUGGAUAUCAACCAGCCUCCUUCUCUGAUCUUGAUGCCAAUCUCCCAGAGUCAAUUACUCUUAACUAAACUGUUACUUUGCUUCUAAACUUUACAUACUUAUUAGAAAGCAAGUUAAUUACUUUUGAAAAAAAAAGUUGCCUCAAUCUAAUAAGCUGAUUGACAAAUAUCUAAGAAAACCUCACUAGUCUU